GGGGCAGGUCCAUGUAUCCACUGAAAAAGGAUCCUUCCACCGACCACCGGAAGAACCUACCACCGACCAAUCCAACCUGCCGCUCCGAAAAGGGAACAUGUCACCGACCACCGGAACCUGCUGUCCGGACAAAGGAACCUUCCACCGAUCACUUUUCUUACUCGGCGUCACUCGCCUCUCGUCUGUCAGAAGCGACAGGCUUGGUGACCUGACGUGAUUUUUUUUCUCCCAAUGGCAGGUCUACUGGCACUACGUUAGUGAACGACCGUGUCCCCCUGGUCUAACGCAUGCGCUAACUCGUGUACGACCCCCAGUGGGCUUUUUUAGGAAUAGCAGCUACUUUUAUCAAAAUGCAGUUUAUGUCUUUUUGUAAUUCUCCCAAUAGAAAAUUCAUCCGGCGGGCCGCACUGGACCCCCCAGGGGACCGGAUUCGGCCCAUAGGCCUUGAGUUUGACGCCUUCAACAACUCUAUAGGCUGAACCGAACGGUCUCUGAAAUGGGACAGUCUGGCCGAGGGGGGAACUUCCUGCUUGCGUCAUCAGCGUUACCUCCGCUGCUCCUGUUGCCUAGCAACCUGCUGCGCUUGACAGUAAAUGUCUUAAAAGACAGACAAGACAUUACAAAGUACAGAAAAAGAAGAUCUUAACGUAUAACUAACAAGAUCUUAACGUAUAACUAACACGAUAUUGGUCAAUUCUCAAUCUAUGAAGUGUCAUAUCCCUAGUUUCGAUUUGUCUGAAGCAGAUUCCUAAAAGUGUAAGCUCUAUUAUUACUUGAUCCAUGUUCAAGUUCACCUCCUUUAUGCCACACUAUAUUUCCAUGAUACAUUUCUGUAGUUUUUGAGAAAAUAAAAGAUAAAAUCCGUAAAAGUGGAGAGAGGGCUAGCGCAAAUUGUGUCACCGGCAACUCGCUGAGGCACUUCCUGUUGCAGGUUGCGGUGCCGCGGUGAAUCGUGGCAGCUGCCUCGAGUUUACGGCAACUGCCUCGCCUGUUGCCUCGGCUGAGUGAGGUACCUCGAGCGGUACCACGAAUUCAGGGGCCGGUUCAUCGGUCGAGAGAGGUACCUCUAGCGGUACCUCGAGUUAAAGGAGUCUUGCCAAGACCGGAGGCAUGCAACGACCAAAGGGAGCGGUGCAUCGGCUGAUAGACGUACUGGGAGUUUAAGGGAGAGGACUCUUGUUUGGGGAGGCAGUAAGAACAAUGUGACCGCAUGAGGCCCAAACAGCACCAUUCCAGCUAUUGUAAACAUCACGUGAUCAAUCAGUUUGCCACAGUUCCUGUCUUGCAGGUCCUCUGGCGAGCGCAACUGCCACGACUUGCCGCGGCAGUCAACAUGACAUGCUGCAGCAGCUGCCACGGCUUGCAAAGCAGUUAUCUCGACAUGCAGCUAUACCAGGGGUGGGCAAACUACGAGUAUUAUGAAUUAUAAAUUAUAGUAACGACCGCUGUAACACUUCUCCGUUCCCGACUUGAGUUUCCUAAAGCACGAUGACUGCAAAAGACCAGCAUAGUUGGUUUUGCUGUUUAUAUUUGUAAUAGUAUUGCUACUUUUAAGUCAUAUGUGUUUGUGGGUUUUUAAAAUGUUUUUUGUUUAUUUAUUUGUUAUUUUAUUUUAUUAUAUUUAAUAUAUAUAUCACACACACACACUUUUGAAAGACAAGUUAUUGACCCAUUUAGCCACAAGAGGGACCCAUUUAGCCACGAGAAGGAGUAUACCUUUAGGUGAGCAUCACCUGUUUACCAGGAGUAAACAAAUGCAGCUCACAUUCACUAGGCUUUUGAGCACUUUUUAAUAUCACCCCCGUUAUAUAACGUUUUUUUAAACCGUAUUUUUUUUCUAACUUUAUAAAACCAUAGUGAAAUGUUAUUUGUUUGCGCAGCUGUUUUUUUUACACAAUUCUAGUACUGGUGUAGUUGCUGUUGCAACACUACAGCACUGCCUGCUUCUGUUGCCAAAAUGUAGUGAAUAUAACCUUUUAUCAUAUAUCUGUAUAUUUUUAAUUGUAUUAGUCUAAUUUACCUUUUUUGUCAUAAAGCUCCAACCAAAUCUAA